rnacentral:lncRNA from 12 species
GAACAUUAACAUCGAACACUUUGCUGAACAUUAAAGAUUUACAAAUUCCUAUGCACAGCUGCAUCCCAGACCAAUUAAAUGAGAAUUUCUGGAGGCAGGGCCUAGGCAACUGAAGUGUUUGAAGCUCCCCAAGUGAUUCCACUGAGGUCAAGUUUGAAAGCCAGGGCUUUAUGUAGCACUUCUCAAAUGUUGAUGUGCCCAGGAGUGACCUGGAGACUCGGUAAAAUGUGGAUUUGGAUUCGGUACUCCUAGAGUGGAACCAGAGAGUCUGACUUCCUAACAAACUCCUCGGCAGUGCUGAUGUUACAUGUUGGGUAGCAAGACUUCAGAGAGGCACAAGGCCCUUUGUUCCAGAAUUAACUUCGGAGAAGCUGACCUGGUUCCACUGGAGGAUUCUGUGUCUGGCCUGAUUGCAUCCUCGACUUCUGGAGAUGAUGGAUAG